CUUUUCCAUUUGUACCUUGCUGCUGGUGUUGCAGGAGACCAAACUCAAAAGUUAGCCAGAGAUGACAGAAUCAAUCUAACUGCAAAGAAGAUUGGAUUCCACCUCAUGCAGUUUUCUCUACUUCCAGCUAAAGUUGUUUGAUCCAGUGUAAGGUGAAGUAUCCAGCAGGUCUCAUUGCUUGAUCAGUCCAGCAGUUCUGGAUCAUGCUCAGAAUUCAAAGGUUAUAAGGGAUUAGCUUUGCUGGAUACC